rnacentral:lncRNA from 1 species
GCCUCCCGCCCGCACCGUGCCCUUUGCGUGACCGUGCCCCCGCCGCACCUUCCCUGUCCCACGCUUACCUUUCGGGCCCGGCCGCCGAGGGGCUGCCCCCCCCCGCUCCCGCCCCCCGCCCCGGCUCCGCCAUCCCCGCCGCAGGGGUGUCGCACGCCGCCGCGCCGGCACAGCCUCGGCUCUCGCCUUGCGCGCACUCGGCUGGCGCUGGCAGCCCCGCCGGGUUCAUGCGAGGACAGCGGCGGCUCCGCGCCGCGGCUCGUCUGGCUGCCAACGCCGCGGCGAGGCUGACGCUGCCGCGGCCGGGGGUGACUCACGGCGGCAGCCACCGGGUAGCGGAUCCGAGAGCCGAGCGGCGAGCGGGCACAUCGGGCCCCGCUCUUCGCCCCCUUCCCCGGGCACCGCGUGCCGCCCGUCGCACCCCUGCCCCCUCCCCGACCCCCUGCGCUUCUGCCAAGUGGAAUAAACGCCCGGGUUUCCGGCAAACAUUCACCCUUCCGACACCGAACGGGAGGCCGCCCCCCUCCCGGCCGGCACCCCUGUCGCAGGCGGGCCGGGGUCCGUCCCCGCGGCCGGCAGCGCUCCCGGCGGCACCCGCCCCCACCUCUCCAUGCUUAUAUAACAGCUCUCAAGAGGAAGCUGCUAACAAGCCCAUCUGCUUGUUUGUGCCAGCUGUUUUAGUGGAGGCAUGCUGGAUGUGACUGAGCUCCACCUUCUUUUUUGAGGUCUCCAUUUAGUUGAUUUUGGAAAGCAUGAAGUGUUUGAGAGGAUUAGAGACAGCAGAAGAAGAGGAAUUCAGGGUAUGUAUUUAGUAAGGGAUGUUGACUGUGGAGGGAGAUUUUGGAGCUUGUUGUGUUUAUGGA